UGGGGCUGGCGAGUCAAAGUCCAGGUGUGGAUGGGCUAGGAGGUCUUCUCCUGGCUUUCAGCUGUCACC
rnacentral:miRNA from 14 species